rnacentral:pre_miRNA from 1 species
AAAAAGACAAAUCUCGGGUUUCCAUGUCCAACGUUUAACUGUUCGUCUUAUAUAAUUUUUUUUUAUAAUUAGUAUUUUCAUUGUUGUUAGAUGAUAAAACAUGAAUAAUACUUUAUGGGUGACUUAUCUUUUUAAUUUUUUUCAAAUAUGACGGACGGUCAAACAUUAGACAUGGAAACCCAUGGUUUGCCUUUUU